AGUGAACGCUGGCGGUAGGCCUAACACAUGCAAGUCGAACGGCAGCACAGUAAGAGCUUGCUCUUACGGGUGGCGAGUGGCGGACGGGUGAGGAAUACAUCGGAAUCUACUUUUUCGUGGGGGAUAACGUAGGGAAACUUACGCUAAUACCGCAUACGACCUACGGGUGCAAGCAGGGGAUCUUCGGACCUUGCGCGAUUGAAUGAGCCGAUGUCGGAUUAGCUAGUUGGCGGGGUAAAGGCCCACCAAGGCGAAGAUCCGUAGCUGGUCUGAGAGGAUGAUCAGCCACAAUGGAGCCGAGACACGGUCCCGACUCCUACGGGAGGCAGCAGUGGGGAAUAUUGGACAAUGGGCGCAAGCCUGAUCCAGCCAUACCGCGUGGGUGAAGAAGGCCUUCGGGUUGUAAAGCCCUUUUGUUGGGAAAGAAAAGCAGCAGGUUAAUACCCCGCUGUUCUGACGGUACCCAAAGAAUAAGCACCGGCUAACUUCGUG
rnacentral:rRNA from 1 species